rfam:Nematostella vectensis strain CH2 x CH6 NEMVEscaffold_380_Cont25562, whole genome shotgun sequence.
GUUGCGAUGGUCGAGUGGUUUAGGCGUUGGACUAGAAAUCCAAUGCGAUCUUAACGCGCAGGUUCGAAUCCUGCCAGCAACG